CCCACCUGGAGACUGUUUACACUGUGAUCUGCCUUUGGUGGCUUUUUGGCAGCUGUGACACUCACUGCUGCCCUCACCAACACACAACAAAACAACGACUACACAACACACUACCUACACACUAAACAUCACAAAUCUCUCACAUCUCAAAACUCGCUGUCAAUAUCGCUCUCUCUCUCUCUCUCUCUCUCUCUCCAUUUUAUCUCGGCUGUAACAUCGGUUGAUGAAAUAUGAGGACACGAGGAAGCGUGGCACAUUAAAUGUUGCACAACAUAUUCAUGAGUUUCAUAUCAGAUAAGAAAAAUAUUUUUAGAGACCGUUCAGAUGAACUUUUAUCAUUUUGUCCUUUAAAUUUGUUCCAUCAUGUGACUCGGCUGUAAUAUAAACACUUCUGGGUUCUUUUUUAGUCUAAUCUAUAAAACCACAGCACGUCUGACACCAUCAGUGGCCAAUCUGAAGUCUCCAGCACAUCACAGACCACAGAUCAGAUCAUCACAUCUGUCAGGACAGAAAAACUAGCAAUAGUAAAAAGUACUGCAGAGUCUCAGCCCCUCUCUCUCCCCCCACUUUCUUUACACAGCAAAGGAGAGGACAGAGGAGAGAGACUGGAGGAACGGGUCCUCCUCCAUGAGAAUGUGGACUCCUGCACAGACCAUCAGGUCCAUGUUUCAACACAGGACGGAGAAACAAAAACCCAGCAGAAGCUUCCAGCUGUGAAAAGAAGCCGUUUCAGAGCUGUUGAAGUGAACCUGGUGGUUCUGUUUCUGCUGAUUCUGGCUGGAAUCACAACACGCUGUGAGGAGUUUUAUUAUCAUGCUCAUGAUACACUCCCAUGUUAAAUGAGCACCUUUGCUGCCUUAAAAACAUGUUUCCAUUCAGGACUAAAUGAGUUUUGGUCUCUAAGGAUAGUUUCCCUCUUCAUAAAAACUGCACGGUGGCAUUUUAAAUUCUCUGAUCAAUAAUAUGAGCUGCUGUGUGGUACAGCCUGACCAACAAGUUGGUUUUGCUGACUGAGCUUCUAGUAUUUCAUGAGUCUGUUACUUAGCACUGAUUAGCAGGUGUGUGUCUGUGUGCAUGAUUCCUGGCUCAUAUCUUGUGUGUGUUGUGGAGGUGGAGUGAAUGUUCUUGUUGUUCCUUCAAACUCUUCACUCAACACUUCUGUGAUUAUAUCAACAAAGCAGACAGGCAGCAGCAUCUGCUGCAGACUGAUGCAGGUGCAGUCACACUACGUUAGACAGUGGCCGUCUGUCAUUGUGCGACUAGUUAGUUCACUUGGGGCGUUUAUCAAUAUGCGUACUUGCGUUCUCGUGUACUCGUGAUACGUCAUCAGUCGGAGACCAAGUACUGUUCCAAUUCGAAGUACGCAUCACGCCGAGAAUGCGAAAAAGUCCCGGAUGUGUUCUCGAUCCGCCCAUUUUAUCGAGCAUGCAUCGGUGUGGACUUGGGACAGCUAUAUAUCCCAGAAUGCAUUUCGUCCAAAACUCAACAGCGGACUCCCGGCACAUCGCCCCCCCCCCCUCUUCUCACUACUCAGGUUAAAGAAACCCCAGCAGCUGUCUAUAGUAUUGAGUGUCCACUAGAAUAGAAAUAAAAGCGUUCUAACAUCUCACCUGCUUGUUUUUAUUAAGGUAUGUACACGUAUGUACAUGUACACUAUUUUUAUUAAUAGAGGUUUCACUACUGAGGUUAAAAUGAUAUAUAAGUCACUUAGAUCACUUCUAAAUGUUAAUGUUUGGUUCAUUUCAGUGUUUUAUUUGUUCCUGAGUAAACCGGUUUGGCUGUGAUUAAAGUUAAGCUUCAUAACAUGUUACUCACAGUUACAUUAAGAGGGGACGGCAGUAAAAACUCCGGACCUGUGACAUCAUCACGUACGCUGGUGUUCCGACUGUACAAAUCACGAGUCCGUGCUCGCGUACUUGAGAAUUGAGAAACGGCCCACGAGUCCGUGCUCGCAUUCUCGGCGGGUACGUACUCACCGAGCAUGCGAGUACGUACUCGCGUACUUGGGCAUUGAUAAACGGCCUUGGUGUAUUAAACAGCUAGCUAACAAGCUAAUGUUAGUUCCAUUCAUUUGAUGGGAAAGUGGAAAACUUGAUUUAAAAUAAUUUAAAAAUUUUAAAUCUUCUGUUUUGUUGCAUUUCUAACCAGAUAUUUUGGUGAGUUUGGAAAAAGAGCAGCUGAAGGACAAGAUGGAAGGUAAGAAACUAUUAAAAACGGUUAAAGUUGGAGACGGAUUUGAAAGGAAACUGAUUUUACAUUUUGAAUCAGGUUCUUGUGUUAAGAUGAUCUGAUAAAAGAAACAAACCAAAUUACAGCAGCUGACCCAAACUGACAUAAAGAGGAGAAACUGUUCACAGUCAAAGCUCAGCCCUACAAACUCCUUCAGAGUGAAACAGGAAACACACAGUGAGAGCUGCACAGGUGUGGCAGGUUGGAACAAGGCGUCCUCUGCAGACGGCGGCCACCUUGGCUCUUUAUGUAACCAUUCAGCUGCUGAACCAAUCACAGCAGAGUACCUGCACAUGCCCAUUAUCAUCCUCUCAUUCAGUCACACCUGAGGCACAGCAAGCAGAGCUUUUCAUGAAGGACAGAAAAACACAGCAGUUACACAAAAUGACACAAAUAUGAUGACAGUCAUAACAACAGGUCAAAGUUCAGUCUGUUACUGUAUCAU
ensembl:lncRNA